rnacentral:misc_RNA from 1 species
UUCAAUAAAAAAAAUUUCAUAAUUUUCUGUUGAAAUGCCUAUCACGCUACAAUUACCUUAAAGCUCCACCUGGACUAAUUUGAUUUAAAAAGUUGUAGAAAAUAGAGAACUGUCAUGGCGUGUCUAAUUGUUGACAUUUCGACAAAGUGGUAAAUUAUUUCGAGUUAAAAUGUUUUUUAUAACCGUUUACAAUAAUAUAUUUAUAUCAACAAUUAAAUUAUAAGUACAAUAAGUGUUUAAAGAAAUAAAUGAAUGUUUAUUACUGAAGAAAACAAUAGUAAUGUCAAUAUGAGCUCUUAUACGUGGGAGCGUAUAACCUCGUCAGAGAGAAAAAAUUUAAAACUUUGUCGAUUAUGUGGCAAAAAUUCGACAAAUUAUGUUGAUUCAUUAAACAAUGAAGGCGCUGAGAGAAAAUUAUGCCUCAAAGUUAUUUCAUGUCUUCAAAUAAACAUAUCAGAAGAUGACAUUUUGCCAAAAAUAAUUUGCACUGAUUGUUGUGAUAAGUUGGAAAAUUUUUACAAAUUUUUUAAACAAGCUGCUGAAGUACAAACAUAUCUUGAUAGUAUUUAUCAAACGACUGAAAAAGAGAUUCCAAUUGAAGACCAAAGCGUUAUUGUAAUAAAAUACAAUCCUGUUGAUUUUUAUCCAGAUCAACAAGAAGCUGAAGUUGUUAUAAAUUUAAAUUUAGAGGAAGGAGUUGAGCUAGAAAAUUUAUCCCCAGAGCAGCUCAAUAAAAUAAUUCAAGAACAAUUGAAUAAUUUAAAUCAAGGCCAAAUAAACAAUAAUUUUAACCAACAUCUUGUUGUUGACAAUGUUGAUGUCAACCCAGAACAAUUAGUUGACACUGUAAUUGAAGAACAAAACAUAAGUACCUCAAUUGUCGAACAAGUGAUAAGUAACUCUAAUGAAGAAGACAUAAUCAAUAAUUUAAAUUCCGAAGAAAUAAUAAUAAAUACGAAUUCAGAAGAAGAAAUAAAUAAUUUGCGUAAGGAGUAUGAAAAAAUAAUCAACGAAGUAAGUAGUGAAUUUAAUGAUCCAGUUGAUGCAAGUGCGCAGGAGAAUGAAGUUAAUAAUAGUAAUAAUCGAGAAAUAGAACAAGAAAAGGAGCUAGACGAACAAAAUCGAGGAGAGGAAGAUGAGAAAGAAGAUAAUGAAGAAGACGAAGUUGUUAAACUAGAGAGAGAAGAAAUAAUUAAUAAAUUGAAAAAGACCAAAGUUGUGACUAGUCGGUUAACGAUAACAGAAGCUAUUCAAGGUUAUCCAUGGAGGUGUACUAUUUGUAAUCAUGGAAUUAUGAAAUCUUACAAAGAAUUGCAGUAUCAUUACAAACACAAGCACAAUGAACCGCCUGUUUAUAAAUGUAUGCACUGCGAAAGGGAGUACAGUCUCUAUAGGAGUUUUACUAAACACUUUUUACUCCAUGAAGAUCCUAAAAGAUUCGAAUGCGAUGACUGCGGUAAGGUAUUUAAUCUUAAGUCAUCUCUACUAUCGCACUCUCUAGUGCAUUCUGACAAGCGCCCUUACUCCUGUACCAUAUGUCGUAAAAGGUUUAAAAGUUCCUUGACUCUAGCAGUCCAUAAAAAACUUCAUCUACCUCUGGACGGACAAUUUUUGUGUGAAAUUUGUAGGAAAGAUUUUUCGUCUAAAAAAGCGCUGGAAAAUCACGAAAAAAUGCACGACGGAGUAUAUGACUUCAUGUGUGAUGUUUGUAGCAAAUCUUUUGUGUCCAAAAAUUCUCUAAGUUAUCACAUGGCCAGCCAUACGGAGGAUAUAAAUUAUCAUUGUCCCACCUGUGGUCGCAGUUUUAGAACAGAAUGUCUUUUAAAGAGACAUUUAGUAACACAUUCGGAAGUUAAGAAACACCGAUGUGAUACCUGUGGAAAACAAUUUAAAGAACGUUGCACUCUCGUUGCACAUACGCGAAUUCAUACCGGAGAAAUGCCGUAUGAAUGCGAAGUCUGCGGUAAAAAAUUCCGUUUCGCUGGAAUUUUAACGGUUCAUCGAAGGCAACACACAGGCGAACGCCCUUAUAUUUGUUCAUUUUGCGACCGCACAUUCACCAACUGGGCAAACUUGAAUAAACAUAUGAAGCGACUGCACAAUACAAAGGCCGGCGUACAGAGAAAAUAAAUUCUUCGUAAGGAAAUAUUAACAAUUUCAGGAAUUAUUGUUUAAAUAAUUAGUAAUACAUAAGGAACUAAAGGCUUGAUACUCCGAAGACUUUACACAAGACUUAAUUUAAGUUAGACCGCUCAGAGAUCAGAACUCAGGAUACAACAAUCUUUCGAGACAACGCCAUCAUACCCAAGAUGUUGAAAAACUCCAUCCAGAGCUUUUUACGUAGAGCUCAAAUGUGUGUUCAUAAUGGUGGCGGUCACUUUCAACAAUUUCUGCGCUGAUUUAAAGACGAUUCAAAAUUUUGAAAUUAU